rnacentral:rRNA from 1 species
GAUCAUGGCUCAGGACGAACGCUGGCGGCGUGCCUAAUACAUGCAAGUAGAACGCUGAAGGAGGAGCUUGCUUCUCUGGAUGAGUUGCGAACGGGUGAGUAACGCGUAGGUAACCUGCCUGGUAGCGGGGGAUAACUAUUGGAAACGAUAGCUAAUACCGCAUAACAGUAGAUAUCGCAUGAUGACUGCUUAAAAGGUGCAACUGCACCACUACCAGAUGG